UACAGAGGGGGCAAGCGUUAUUCGGAAUUAUUGGGCGUAAAGGGCGCGUAGGCGGUUUUUUAAGUCGGAUGUGCAAUCCCCAGGCUCAACCUGGGAACUGCAUCCGAGACUGGAAGGCUAGAGUACUGGAGAGGGUGGUGGAAUUCCUCGUGUAGCGGUGAAAUGCGUAGAGAUGAGGAGGAACACCAGUGGCGAAGGCGCCUUGCUGGGAAGUCACUGACGCUGAGGCGCGAAAGCGUGGGGAGCAAACAGG
rnacentral:rRNA from 1 species